GUGGUCGUAGCCCAAGCGGUAGAGCUCCAGUUUGUGAAGCUGGCGGUACGGGUUCGAGCCCCGUCGAUCACCCCA
rnacentral:tRNA from 1 species